rnacentral:rRNA from 1 species
GACAGAGGGUGCAAACGUUGUUCGGAAUUACUGGGCGUAAAGCGCGUGUAGGCUGCUUCGCAAGUCGGAUGUGAAAGCCCUGAGCUCAACUCAGGAAGUGCAUUCGAAACUGCAGAGCUGGAGUCCUGGAGAGGAAGGCGGAAUUCUCGGUGUAGAGGUGAAAAUCGUAGAUAUCGAGAGGAACACCGGUGGCGAAGGCGGCCUUCUGAACAAUGACUGACGCUGAAACACGAAAACAUAAGGAGCAAACAGG